ACUCACACCCACCAUUCGAUACGUCGUAGGUGUGUGUGUGGCCAGCCUUCUGUAACAAUUACGACGAGGCGAUCUUAAUCUUUCGAAAUACCAGUGGAAGAUGGUUUGGUUAACGCCGUAGAGAAUUUCAGAAAUCGGCAUCAGGAUAGUAAUGAAAUUGAACCACCCAAGAAGAUGGAGGGGUAAAUGAGCUUGACCAGACGGAUGUUGCGUACAUAAUUCGUCAACUAAUUGAGAAGUUCAUGAUAAGUACACCGAAGCUCGACGUCUUAAAAGGCAUGGGAAGUUUGGAUAACAAUGUCGUAUGUGAAGGUUCAAAAGUCGCCGGAGCGGUUUGAUCGGAGAAAGGAGCUAGUUGCCCUCCUGAACAAGAGGUCUACACUUUAAGAAAGAUUUAACCCCCACGUCCUUAUUUAAGUGACGCUGGGUAGAUAAGGAACUUUGCUAUUUCAAGACGCCCAAGGUUCUCUCACAACAUAAAGCAAUCAUAAACGUGAAAGUCUGCAGACAUACCCCGCCGAACCAAUAUCGGUGUCCCAAGGGUGAACUUCAAGGAGUAUUUCUCUAAGAAUGCUGUGGAAUCUAAUAACAUGUCAACAGCCUGAAUAAUGCCCAGCAACCUUUGGAUAAAACUAUUACCCUGUAUUCCUAUAUUGAGGCUACAAUGAAUAAAUAAAAUCUAGACAACUGAAAAGACAACAAAGUUUGUAGAUUCCCCCUAGGAAAAAUGAAAAGAUUAAAACGAACGGACAAACAGAAUCUAGACAACC